AACUGCGUCUCUUCCUCUUGCAAAUAACUGGGAUGUUGGCCUUGUCGGGUGUUCUGAGAAUGUCCUGUGCGUCCUGCUUGUUGAAGAAAAAUUAUUUGUCUAAUCCGAGGUGAGUGAUCGCUGUCCUGAUAUCCAGAAGAUCUUUGUCUAAUCCGAGGUGAGUGAUCGCUGUCCUGAUAUCCAGAAGAUCUUUGUCUAAUCCGAGGUGAGUGAUCGCUGUCCUGAUAUCCAGAAGCUCUUAGUCUAAUCCAAGGUGAGCGAUCGCUGUCCUGAUAUCCAGAAGCUCUUUUUUGCCGUAAGAUACGGUUGCAGAAACAUUAUGUACAAAAUAAGUUACAAAUAACGUGAAAAAUCCCCACAUAAUAGCACAAAUGGUUGGGCGCCUGUAAAACUGCUGCCAUUUCUUCCUGCGCCAUUGGUAGCAACACAACAUAACAACAACAUGGUGGCAACACAACAUGGUAGCAGCACAAAACAUGGUACAAACAUUAUUGGGUACAGACAAAAGCACAAAGGGCAAGAGGGUAGAGACAACAAUACAUCACGCGAAGCAGCCACAACUGUCAGUAAGAGUGUCCAUGAUUGAGUCUUUGAAUGAAGAUAUAUACAGAGAGAAGUACAGCAAAACAUUCAGUAUUCUUCUGUCCUCCCCCAUAAAAAGUAGAGAUUAUUGACACUGAAGCCAGAUCAGUGUGGGAGAGCUUUGGGAGGGAGAGCUUUGUACGCGAC
ensembl:lncRNA